rnacentral:rRNA from 1 species
GAACGUUGGCUGUGUGCNUAAGGUAUGCAAGUCGAACGAUCCCUUUCUGAUUUCUAGUAACUUCGGUUGCUAGUUUUCUAUCUGGGAUAGUGGCAAACGGGUGAGUAACACGUAGAUAACUUGCCUCGAAGUCGGGAAUAGCUCGUCGAAAGACGGGGUAAUAUCCGAUGGUCUCUAACCACUUCGUGUGUUUUAGAGUAAAGCUUUUGUGCUUCGAGAGAGGUCUGCGUCCUAUCAGCUAGUUGGUAAGGUAAUGGCUUACCAAGGCUAAGACGGGUAGCUGGUGUGAGAGCACGGUCAGCCACCAUGGAACUGAGACACGGUCCAUACUCCUACGGGAGGCAGCAAUUAGGAAUCUUGCGCAAUGGGGGCAACCCUGACGCAGCGACACAGCGUGGAGGAUGAAGGUCUUCGGAUUGUAAACUCCUUUUAUAUGGGAAGAAUAGAUGACUGUACCAUAUGAAUAAGGACCUGCUAACUACGUGCCAGAAGCAUCGGUGAUGCGUAGGGUCCGAACGUUAUCCGGAUUUAUUGGGUGUAUAGAGAUGCGUAGGCGGUUUGAUAAGUCUUGAGUUAAAGACCUCGGCUCAACCGAGGAAAAGCUUUCGAUACUAUCAGACUUGAGGCAUAGAGGGGUGAACGGAAUUCCGAGUGGAGUGGUGAAAUACGUUGAUAUUCGGAGGAACAUCAGUGGCGAAGGCGGUUCACUGGCUAUUGCCUGACGCUCAGGCUCGAAAGCGUGGGUAGCAAAACGGAUUAGAUACCCGUGUAGUCCACGCUGUAAACUAUGGAUGCUAGGUGUUCGGUACAACUGUUUUUAAUCUUCGGAUUUUAAACGGGAGUGCUGAGUGCCGCAGCUAACGCGUUAAGCAUCCCACCUGGGAAGUACGGCCGCAAGGCU